GUAACAGCAGGACCUGGACGCUUGGUGAAACCAAGCCUGUAUGAAAAGGACUGUUUGAGAAAUGACUAUCUCCCAGCCCUGGAGGAACAGCUGCAAAAUAGACUUCAAGGGAAUUUUACUACUUCCUUUUUCUCCGACUGAAAAAAA